UGCGCAGGCGGUUAUAUAAGACAGAUGUGAAAUCCCCGGGCUCAACCUGGGAACUGCAUUUGUGACUGUAUAGCUAGAGUACGGCAGAGGGGGAUGGAAUUCCGCGUGUAGCAGUGAAAUGCGUAGAUAUGCGGAGGAACACCGAUGGCGAAGGCAAUCCCCUGGGCCUGUACUGACGCUCAUGCACGAAAGCUGGGAGCAAACA
rnacentral:rRNA from 1 species